AUUUUUCUUUGUUUUCUGCAGAACACAUUGUUUGAAGAAGCAGAAUUUCAGCAGUUUGCAUUCUUCAAGACUCGGAUAUGCUUACGCAAUGCUCUUCAAGAUGAAAUGAUCUCCAGCCAGUACGAUGACAAAGAGGCUGUUCUCAUCACAAUGAAUCGGCCCAUGAUUUACUUUCAGCCUAUUGCUCUUGAUAAAGCUGUCCUUGUCUGGCUUAACUACAAGAAUGCUUACGAAUACUGGAAUGAGCAACGGGGAAGCUUAAAUAAAGAGGUG
rnacentral:lncRNA from 1 species